rnacentral:rRNA from 1 species
CCUACGGGUGGCAGCAGUGAGGAAUAUUGGUCAAUGGACGAGAGUCUGAACCAGCCAAGUAGCGUGAAGGAUGAAGGCCCGAUGGGUUGGAAACUGCGUUUAUAGGGGAAUAAAACGUGCCACGUGUGGGAUUUUGUAUGUACCAUAUGAAUAAGGAUCGGCUAACUCCGUGCCAGCAGCCGCGGUAAUACGGAGGAUCCGAGCGUUAUCCGGAUUUAUUGGGUUUAAAGGGAGCGUAGGUGGAUUGUUAAGUCAGUGGUGAAGGUUUGCGGCUCAACCGUAAAAUGGCAGUUGAUACUGGCAGUCUUGAGUACAGUAGAGGUUGGCGGAAUUCGUGGUGUAGCGGU